rnacentral:rRNA from 1 species
AACGUACGCUGGCGGCACGCCUAACACAUGCAAGUCGAACGAAGUAGCAAUACUUAGUGGCAGACGGGUGAGUAACAUGUAGGUAUCUGCCCUUUGGCCUGGAAUAACACGAGGAAACUUGUGCUAAUACCGGAUAAGUCUUUACGGAGAAAGCUUUAUGCACCAUUGGAUGAGCCUGCACUUGAUUAGUUUGUUGGUGGGGUAAUGGCCUACCAAGACUGUGAUCAAUAGCUGAUUUGAGAGGAUGAUCAGCCACAUUGGGACUGAGACACGGCCCAAACUCCUACGGGAGGCAGCAGUGGGGAAUCUUGCACAAUGGAGGAAACUCUGAUGCAGCGAUGCCGCGUGAGUGAAGAAGGCCCUUGGGUUGUAAAGCUCUUUCGUCGGGGAAGAAAAUGACUGUACCCGAAUAAGAAGGUCCGGCUAACUUCGUGCCAGCAGCCGCGGUAAUACGAAGGGACCUAGCGUAGUUCGGAAUUACUGGGCUUAAAGAGUUCGUAGGUGGUUGAAAAAGUUAGUGGUGAAAUCCCAGAGCUUAACUCUGGAACUGCCAUUAAAACUUUUCAGCUAGAGUAUGAUAGAGGAAAGCAGAAUUUCUAGUGUAGAGGUGAAAUUCGUAGAUAUUAGAAAGAAUACCAAUUGCGAAGGCAGCUUUCUGGAUCAUUACUGACACUGAGGAACGAAAGCAUGGGUAGCGAAGAGGAUUAGAUACCCUCGUAGUCCAUGCCGUAAACGAUGUGUGUUAGACGUUGGAAAUUUAUUUUCAGUGUCGCAGGGAAACCGAUAAACACACCGCCUGGGGAGUACGACCGCAAGGUUAAAACUCAAAUGAAUUGGCGGGGACCCGCACAAGUAGUGGAGCAUGUGGUUUAAUUCGAAGAUACGCGCAGAACCUUACCAACACUUGACAUGUUCGUCGCGACUCUAAGAGAUUAGAGUUUUCGGUUCGGCCGGACGAAACACAGGUGCUGCAUGGCUGUCGUCAGCUCGUGUCGUGAGAUGUUGGGUUAAGUCCCGCAACGAGCGCAACCCUCACUUUUAGUUGCCAUCAUUAAGUUGGGCACUCUGAAAGAACUGCCAGUGAUAAGCUGGAGGAAGGUGGGGAUGACGUCAAGUCCUCAUGGCCCUUACGUGUUGGGCUACACACGUGCUACAAUGGUAUCUACAACAGGAAGCAAGACUGCGAAGUUAAGCAAAUCCCUAAAAGAUACCUCAGUUCGGAUUGCACUCUGCAACUCGAGUGCAUGAAGCUGGAAUUACUAGUAAUCGUGGAUCAGCGUGCCACGGUGAAAUGCGUUCCCGGGUCU